GUGGGGGUCGCCCAGUCCGGUCAAAGGCGCUACCUUGAGGGGGUAGUCUCUAUCGAGUUCGCGGGUUCGAAUCCCGUCUCCCACA
rnacentral:tRNA from 1 species